rnacentral:rRNA from 1 species
AUUGAACGCUGGCGGCAGGCCUAACACAUGCAAGUCGAGCGGAUGAAGGGAGCUUGCUCCUGGAUUCAGCGGCGGACGGGUGAGUAAUGCCUAGGAAUCUGCCUGGUAGUGGGGGAUAACGUCCGGAAACGGGCGCUAAUACCGCAUACGUCCUGAGGGAGAAAGUGGGGGAUCUUCGGACCUCACGCUAUCAGAUGAGCCUAGGUCGGAUUAGCUAGUUGGUGGGGUAAAGGCCUACCAAGGCGACGAUCCGUAACUGGUCUGAGAGGAUGAUCAGUCACACUGGAACUGAGACACGGUCCAGACUCCUACGGGAGGCAGCAGUGGGGAAUAUUGGACAAUGGGCGAAAGCCUGAUCCAGCCAUGCCGCGUGUGUGAAGAAGGUCUUCGGAUUGUAAAGCACUUUUAGUUGGGAAGAAGGGCAGUAAGUUAAUACCUUGCUGUUUUGACGGUACCAAAAGAAUAAGCACUGGCUAACUUCGUG